rnacentral:rRNA from 1 species
AUUGAACGCUAGCGGGAUGCCUUACACAUGAAAGUCGAACGGAGUGGCGAACGGGUGAGUAAUGUAUCGGAACGUGCCCAGUAGCGGGGGAUAACUACGCGAAAGCGUAGCUAAUACCGCAUACUAUUGGAGAGGCCGAAAUCGGAUUAGCUAGCUGGUGGGGUAACUGCCUCCCAAGGCGACGAUCCGUAACUGUUUUGAGAGGACGACCAGCCACUAUGGGACAGUGGCACGGCCCAGACUCCUACGGCAGGCAGCAGUGGGGUAUGUGGGACGAUGGGCAGAGCCCUGAUCCGGCCCACCCGCUGGGGCGAUGAAGUCAUUCGGGUUGUCAAGCACUUUUAACUGGUAAGCGGUACCUACAGGAAACGCACCGGCUAACUUCGUGCCAGCAGCCGCGGUAAUAC